rnacentral:misc_RNA from 1 species
GGAAGGUGAGAAUAGAGGAAUUAGGGAGGAUUUAGAAGACGGAAUAAAGUGGCCAAAAUGGAUGGCGAGCCGUGACCGGAGGCUUUUGGAGUCAUCGUACGAAGCUACGGCGGACGUGGUGGUGGCGGCGGAUGGAAGUGGAAAUUAUAAAACGGUGUCGGAGGCGGUGGCGGCGGCGCCGAGUAAGAGCAGCAAAAGAUAUGUAAUAAGAAUAAAGGGUGGAGUUUACAAGGAAAAUGUUGAUGUGCCAAGUAGUAAAACCAAUAUUAUGUUUUGGGGAGAUGGAAGAUCCAACACCAUUAUCACUGCUAGCAGAAGUGUUGGGGGUGGCAGUACAACCUUCAAUUCCGCCACAGUUGCUGCUGUGGGGGAUGGAUUUUUAGCUCGGGAUAUAACCUUUCAAAACACAGCAGGAGCAGCCAAUGACCAAGCUGUAGCUCUCCGCGUUGGGUCAGAUCGCUCAGCCUUCUACCGUUGUGGCAUGCUAGCCUACCAAGACACUCUCUACGUCCAUUCAAACCGUCAGUUCUUCGUCAACUGCGUCGUUGCAGGCACAGUCGAUUUCAUCUUCGGAAACGCAGCAGUCGUAUUCCAAAACUCCGACCUCACCCCUCGCAAACCAGGCCCUAAGCAAC